rnacentral:tRNA from 1 species
AAGCCCCGGAGCCUAUAAGGGCUCAUCUUUAAAUUUGCAUUUUAACGUGGAAACACCUCGGGGCU